rnacentral:rRNA from 1 species
UACGUAGGGAGCAAGCGUUGUCCGGAAUCAUUGGGCGUAAAGCGCGUGUAGGCGGUUCGGUAAGUCCGCUGUGAAAGUCGGGGGCUCAACCCUCGGAUGCCGGUGGAUACUGUCGAGCUUGAGUACGGAAGAGGCGAGUGGAAUUCCUGGUGUAGCGGUGAAAUGCGCAGAUAUCAGGAGGAACACCAAUUGCGAAGGCAGCUCGCUGGGACGUUACUGACGCUGAGACGCGAAAGCGUGGGGAGCAAACAGG